CUUCUUCUCUCACACGCCAUCAUCGUUUAAAACGUAUAAUAAAGCAGCCCAUUUUUCAAGAGAAAAUAAAACACACACACUUCCUCUCACUCAAUUCUAUUUUCCGGGAAAAAUCAAUUUCUAUUUCUGUAUCCGUUGGAAUAGAAUGAUGGAUCUGUGGGCAGUCCAUGUAAAGAAUACAACUGGAAGCCCUUUUUGUUUGAGAAAUCAUUCAAUUCCAGAGAAAUCAUUUGUUUCCUCCAAUUUUGGGAAAUUUAGGGUUUUGAAGCAUAAAAUUUCUUCUUCCGGGUAUCAUUCUUUGGGAGUUAAAGCUAUGGCUAAGAAGAAUAGUAAUGAUAACUCCAAUUCCUCUUCUCCUUCUGGAAAUGGAGAUGGCUCAAAAGGAAGUAACCCUCCUGAUGGGAACAAAUCCAACGACUAUGCUUCCCAAAAGUCUCACAGGGUAAACUUGGACUGGAGAGAGUUUAGAGCAAAUUUAUUUGCUCAGGAGCAGGCAGAGAAGGCAGAAUCUGAUGCUCACAGCCAAACUGGGACACCCCAAGAGUCGAAACCCCUUAGCCUGAAAUGGGCCCACCCUAUUCCUGUACCUGAGACUGGUUGUGUCCUUGUUGCUACAGAAAAACUUGAUGGAGUUCGCACUUUUGAAAGAACCGUUGUUCUCCUCCUCAGAUCUGGAACCAGACAUCCACAAGAGGGACCAUUUGGAGUUGUCGUUAACCGUCCACUGAACAAAAAGAUUAGGCACAUGAAGCCCACAAAUAUGGAAUUAGAAACCACUUUUGCUGAUUGUUCUCUUAAUUUUGGUGGACCUCUUGAUGCAAGCAUGUUUUUAUUAAAAAGUCGGGAGAAGAAGAUUAAAGAGUUCGAAGAGGUGAUCCCUGGCCUGUGUUUUGGUGCUGGAAAUAGUUUGGAUGAAGCUGGAGCACUUGUGAGAGAAGGGGUGCUGAAGCCUCAGGAUUUCAGAUUCUUUGUCGGUUAUGCUGGGUGGCAGCUAGAUCAGUUGAGGGAGGAGAUUGAAUCAGAUUAUUGGUAUGUGGCUGCAUGUAGCUCAAAUCUGAUUUGUGGGGGUUCAUCAGAAAGUUUAUGGGAGGAGAUUUUGCAGCUAAUGGGUGGUCAUUACUCGGAACUAAGCCGAAAGCCCAAGCAGGAUAUGUAGGUAAUUAUGAUCCAUCGGUGUUCCCAAAAUCAAUAAGCCAUUCCAGAAGCUAAAGCCAGAUAUGUAAUUAAGGACAAAGAAGCUUCCCACUUGAGGGUGGUUCUGCAGGGUGAGGAGAAAGGCACCACGAGGAUGCGACGGAGUAAUUGUUUUGAGAAUUACCCUUUGUAUCGUCUGUUGUUGUGUAGUUGCCCAUAACCAUCAAGGUUAUCUCUGGUCCCCGACUUUUCAAGACGUGCUUUACGAACGGCCUGCUGGAUUUGUCUAUCGUGCUCUUUGAGUAUUUCUUCCAUGUUCCCCCCAGGAGGCAUCAACGGUCCAGAAUAAUGGAUUCUGGUUUUCCUGGGAACAUACCCCCCCUGAAACCAGAGUUUCCAUUUUUGUUAAACGAUCAAGAACAACACAAUAACACCACAAAUCAACGUAAUGAAAAGAAGGAUAAAAAACUAUGUAUGAAGAAAUAGAAGGAGCUAAGAUUGAGAUAAAACUGUGAAAACAUCUUAGCACUUGGAUGAAUUUAUAGUUUUGAUUUUAACA